rnacentral:rRNA from 1 species
UAAGACGAAGGGGGCUAGCGUUGUUCGGAAUUACUGGGCGUAAAGCGCGUGUAGGCGGUUUGCCAAGUCGGGUGUGAAAGCCUUGGGCUUAACCCAAGAAAUGCACUCGGUACUGGCAGACUAGAGGACCGGAGAGGAUAGUGGAAUUCCCAGUGUAGUGGUGAAAUACGUAGAGAUUGGGAAGAACACCAGUGGCGAAGGCGGCUAUCUGGACGGUUUCUGACGCUAAGACGCGAAAGCGUGGGGAGCAAACAGGAUUAGAUACCCUGGUAGUCCUAGCUGUAAACGAUGGAUACUUGCUGUGGGGGGUGUUAAAUCCCCCUGUGGCGGAGCUAACGCAUUAAGUAUCCCGCCUGGGGAGUACGGUCGCAAGGCUG